CUGUCAGAAGGCUGACCUGGACCAUACCAUGCGUGGUGAAGCAUGUGUAACAAAUGUUCGCACAUUUGGAGUACUGUGCCGGGAAGAGGACGUGCUGUCCCUGAAGGAUGUCCGAGCGGAGACACCGCAGCGUCCUGUCAACAGCAGAUAAACACUACUUCACCUAAGAGACUUUAGUAUCCAAUUCUUCGUUGACCUUCAGCAUUCAGUUGUUUGUCUUCACCUUUUCAGGCUAAAACCUGAGAAGCCAUCACCAUGUUGUUGUUUCACAUCAGAGUUUCCUGUGUCCAGCAUCUUCAAGACAGACUAAGCUAACUUUUCAUAUUUUGUCCACAUUUAUAUUUAGGUUAGGUUAGGUUUAUAGUAGAGUACUUAGUUUGUAUAGUUUAGCGUUUUAUGCUGGUCUAGGGACAGUUAAGUUAGCAAAUGAAUUUAGUUCAGAUCACUUACAAUUGCAUGUUAUUGUUACAAUUGUGUUAUUUUGUGAGUUAUUGUUGUACAGGCUAUUGUAUAUUGCAGGACCAAGUGAGACGAGGAAGACCACUGUUUCCAAGAUGCCGCUCAGAAAGUGCGUUGGACAAGUCUCGACCUUGCAGAUCCUGCCCCACUUAGCCCAACCACUUCCGACCAUGGGGUACCUCAAAGACCUCCGUCAACCAGCCGGCUGUGGAUGAUGGAUAACGCACCCACAACUCCUUCUCCAGGCUACAAGGUUCUGAAUAUACAGACACCCCCACAGUCCAAGAACAGCUGGAUGACCUCUGGACCCACUUGCCCCCGUUCACCAGUUGAAAAGAUAAGCUUUUUAAAAAAUUCUUCAAUUGUUAAUUCUGCACAAAGUGAUACACAAAACAUUGUCUGUAUUCCAUUUCAACAAACACAAACAUGAAAUGUAUAUUUAAAUACAUGACUUAAUGCAAGUCAAUCAUCUUUUUUUUUUUAAAACCAACCA